rnacentral:lncRNA from 1 species
GAAAGUUUCAUUUCAACCUAGUUUGGGAAUCAUUAACAAGGGUAAGAAACCAGAUUUCAAACUGAUCGUUGAGACCUGAGAAUGAGACCAUAUACAUUUCCAAUACUAUUACGGAAAAUUUCUAUUACAGCUGAAGUUCAAAAGCUUCAGAACAAAACCCAAAAGAAGAAGAAAAAACUACACAGAUACAUAAACAAACAAAAAAAUGAUAGCAACGUUUCAGUCGCAUAAGUCUUCUUGAUAAUCAGAUUGUGCAGCCACAGAACAAAAAGAAGAAGCAGAGCAUAGAAACCAGAGCGACGGAUUCGAACGCCGUUACGAUACUCCACACUAACUCAUCCACAAUGGAAAUACUCAUGAGCCCCGACCACCUUAACAACCUCCGUGGAGACCACCUCGGAGUUAUGUACGAUGCCACCAUCCCAGGCCACCGUGUCAUCGAAGAACCGCCUGAGAAUUCCAACAUCAACCACCGGAAUGUCGAUGCCAUCAGAUUAUACUCUGUUUCAAAUAAAGAUAAAAUAAUGUUCCUUUCUCUCGCAGUAUCUAGUAGAAUUUGAAAAAAUGAUGCAAAUAAGAGUGGGAUGUGGGAUAUGGGAUAUUUAUUUGUGUGUGAUAAUUACCUUUUACCCUAUCCUAAGAUAAAAAUGGUAAAAUUGAUGAGCUAACAUGACUACCUUAUUUAAG